rnacentral:sRNA from 1 species
AACACAACUGAAUAGGCUCCUCAAGGGUGAUCGGCUCAUCCCCUCACGAAAGGGGGUGAGAGAAUGUCGACACAUGAAAUGAUUUCACUCAUGCUCCAGUUUGGGCUGUUCCUCGUAGCAGCUUUGACUCUGGUGGUGACAAUCAUUAAGCAUAUGUUGGACAAUCAAAAUAAAAAGAAAUAGAUCGCCCUUCGAGUUGGUAGCUCCGGCGAUCUAUUUUGCAAACCUAUGAGCCGACACCCUUGCAAGGUAUCAGUUGUGUCAACCGACCGUAGGUGUUCAAGCACCUAUG